UGCAGUCGAACGAACCUUCGGGUUAGUGGCGGACGGGUGAGUAACGCGUGGGAAUCUGCCCUCAGGAGGGGGAUAACGGCUGGAAACGGCCGCUAAUACCCCAUAUGCCGAGAGGUGAAAUGAAUUUCGCCUGAGGAUGAGCCCGCGUCUGAUUAACUUGUUGGUGAGGUAAUGGCUCACCAAGGCUUCGAUCAGUAGCUGGUCUGAGAGGAUGAUCAGCCACACUGGGACUGAGACACGGCCCAGACUCCUACGGGAGGCAGCAGUGGGGAAUUUUCCGCAAUGGGCGAAAGCCUGACGGAGCAACGCCGCGUGAGGGAUGAAGGCCUCUGGGCUGUAAACCUCUUUUCUCAAGGAAGAAGAUCUGACGGUACUUGAGGAAUAAGCCACGGCUAAUUCCGUGCCAGCAGCCGCGGUAAUACGGGAGUGGCAAGCGUUAUCCGGAAUUAUUGGGCGUAAAGCGUCCGCAGGCGGCCUUUCAAGUCUGCUGUUAAAACGUGGAGCUUAACUCCAUCAAGGCAGUGGAAACUGUUGGGCUUGAGUUUGGUAGGGGCAGAGGGAAUUCCCGGUGUAGCGGUGAAAUGCGUAGAUAUCGGGAAGAACACCAGUGGCGAAGGCGCUCUGCUGGGCCAUAACUGACGCUCAUGGACGAAAGCCAGGGGAGCGAAAGGGAUUAGAUACCCCUGUAGUCCUGGCCGUAAACGAUGAACACUAGGUGUCGGGGGAAUCGACCCCCUCGGUGUCGUAGCCAACGCGUUAAGUGUUCCGCCUGGGGGAGUACGCACGCAAGUGUGAAACUCAAGGAAUUUGACGGGGGCCCGCACAAGCGGUGGGAGUAUGUGGUUUAUUUCGAUGC
rnacentral:rRNA from 1 species